GCGUAGUAGAUAUAGUAUAGCCGAGACGGCCAAGGAAAUGCAAAAUCUAUUAGUCUAUUAGUACAGCAUAUGACGAUGGUUGGGGUACUAAGCAAGCGUAGGCCCAAGCGCAGAAACGUUGGUAAAAUACGAAGGGUCCGCAAGGAGAAUGAUGAGGCGCAGUUUUACUUGAGUGGCGACCAGCUGGCCAUUCUUGAGUCAUGUGAGCCAAAGUUUGAUACUGUACCAUACGUGCAAAAUACAAUACGGGAUGCUAUAGCUGUUAGGAAGCUUUUCUUGAUCGACCAACAGCGCGACACAAGUCGAUCUUUGCCUUCGCCUCCGAGGACGACCCUCUUGACUCCAGACGAAGAGAGGACAGUCCAGGAAAAUCAAACCUGCGACAGGGAAUUAAUGAAUCCGUUUCUCAUUCCGCUGAGCUCCGAGAAAUGUUCCCAACCGAACCCUGGACUCUUCGGGGCACUAGACAUAUGUUUGGCUGUACCCGAAACGUGCCGGGACCCUAAUCUGAUUCAUGAGGUGCCACCAAAAGGGAAUGAAACUCGGAUGCCAACAAGACUUGGUCUAGAUUUACAGUCAAGCCCUACAGGUUGUAAUGGUAAAGAAGAAGAUGAAUAAAGAAUAACUCCCAAGGACUGUACUUACAACCAGCCAACUUGGAAGCAGUUCCUUUGGAAAUGGGAACCAGGAUCUUCCUAAUAUUCCUUAAAAUAUUGAAACAUUAGAAUAUCAUGCCAGAUAAAAGUAUGCAAGUCCUACAUAGCAGCCCUAUUUAUGUUCCAACGGUCAGCAUAAGCAGAAUGCAUUCAUCUUCACUCCUAAGCCAGUCAUGUACCAUCUCUGUACCAGUACUGUGCACGCUAGGAUGUAUGAAAGAAACCCACUUUUCAACUAGUAGUGAUUGUUUACCAACAUAUGUAUACGAUUAGGUGAAACGCAAGAAUUUGUUAACUUGUUUUUUUUUCAAUAUUAAACGAUUUCUUUGUAUGUUUUGAGACUUAGUUGAUAUUCAUUUUCUGUGGCAUUUUGUAUUGUAUAUGUGCAAUAAAUGACAGAUUUUA